ensembl:lncRNA
UGGUGCUUGGUAUUUUUCAAGGCAGAGAAACUAUUCUGUAUGAUAAUUGAAUGGCUGAAUACAUGUAAUUUUACAUUUGUCUAAAUCUAAAUAUUCACAGUUACUGUACUCUAAUGUCAACUUAAAAUUCAUUUAAUUUAAUUUAAUUAAUUUAUUUUUGGUACCAGGGAUCGUACUUGGGACCUUGUGCUUGUGAGGGAGGCACCACUGAGCUAAAUCCGCAGCCCUUAAAAUUCGUUUUAAAUUGAUGAGUCAUUGAAUCAUGAAUUAUUUUCAGGUCCAACUCUUUUGAAUCACCUUUCAUGUCACAGUUCUCAGUGUCUGCAUUUCCUCACACAACACAGCCCUGAGUAUCAUCAAGAGAACUGGUGAUAGGGAUGGGGAUAAGGUCCUGAGUUCGAUCCCCGGUACCAAAAAAAAAAAAAGAGUACUGGUGAUAGAGUGCUACUUCAAAGAGCGCAUCAUGGCUAUCUUCUGUUUACUGUCAGUGGGAAACAUUGGACCAAAGAAUGACGUCUUAAUGAUAGUCCUGCUCAACCCAUGAAUCGGUCACAUCAGCCUCCUGUUGCUCUGAAUUUUCUGUCAUCGAUUUCAAGAGUUUCCAGUUUAUCCUGCCUUUAACUGCAUUGCGUGGUGUUUGACAGGCAACCCUUUUGCACCUGCCUCUCUGACAAAGUGAGGUACAGCUUCAUAUACUUGCCCCCUGACUGAGACCCCUGCCCAACUGAGAGAGAAAAAGCCCCAAAAGACGC